rfam:Oryza sativa Japonica Group DNA, chromosome 5, cultivar: Nipponbare, complete sequence.
AAAGACUCAAUUCUUGGAUUUCCGUGUCAAACGUUUGAUCGUUCGUCUUAUAUGAUUUUUUUUAUGAUUAGUAAUUUUAUUGUUGUUAGAUGAUAAAACAUACUUUAUGGAUGACUUAUCUUUUUAAAUUUUUUUAUAAUUUUUUCAAAUAAGACGGACGGUCAAACGUUAUAUACGGAAACAGGCUGUGUUUAGU